rnacentral:rRNA from 1 species
AUUGAACGCUGGCGGCAGGCUUAACACAUGCAAGUCGAGCGGAGUGAUAGUGCUUGCACUAUCACUUAGCGGCGGACGGGUGAGUAAUGCUUAGGAAUCUGCCUAUUAGUGGGGGACAACAUUCCGAAAGGAAUGCUAAUACCGCAUACGCCCUACGGGGGAAAGCAGGGGAUCUUCGGACCUUGCGCUAAUAGAUGAGCGUAAGGCGUAUUAGCUAGUUGGUGGGGUAAAGGCCUACCAAGGCGACGAUCUGUAGCGGGUCUGAGAGGAUGAUCCGCCACACUGGGACUGAGACACGGCCCAGACUCCUACGGGAGGCAGCAGUGGGGAAUAUUGGACAAUGGGCGGAAGCCUGAUCCAGCCAUGCCGCGUGUGUGAAGAAGGCCUUUUGGUUGUAAAGCACUUUAAGCGAGGAGGAGGCUACCUGGAUUAAUACUCUAGGAUAGUGGACGUUACUCGCAGAAUAAGCACCGGCUAACUCUGUGCCAGCCGCCGCCGUAAUAC